GAUCAUGGCUCAGGAUGAACGCUAGCGACAGGCUUAACACAUGCAAGUCGAGGGGCAGCAUGAUUUGUAGCAAUACAGAUUGAUGGCGACCGGCGCACGGGUGAGUAACGCGUAUGCAACUUACCUAUCAGAGGGGGAUAGCCCGGCGAAAGUCGGAUUAAUACCCACUAAACAAGGGUACCCGGCCGACUGGAAGUAUUGUUUAAGUAAGUUACUAUCGCUCGAUAGAUAGGACG
rnacentral:rRNA from 1 species